AUGUGACCUCAAAUCAGGU
rnacentral:rRNA from 5 species